GACCACUCCGGUGGCCAAGUGGUUAGAGCAUCUGCCUCGGAUGCGGAAGGUCAUGGGUUCGAUCCCCGGCCAAGUCA